GACGAACGCUGGCGGCGUGCUUAACACAUGCAAGUCGAACGAUGAAGCCGGAGCUUGCUCUGGUGAAUUAGUGGCGAACGGGUGAGUAACACGUGAGUAACCUGCCCUUGACUCUGGGAUAACUGCGGGAAACUGUAGCUAAUACCGGAUACGACCCUCGGAGGCAUCUCCUGGGGGUGGAAAGAAUUUCGGUCAAGGAUGGACUCGCGGCCUAUCAGCGAGUUAGCGAGGUAAAGGCUCACCAAGGCGACGACGGGUAGCCGGCCUGAGAGGGUGACCGGCCAAACUGGGACUGAGACACGGCCCAGACUCCUACGGGAGGCAGCAGUGGGGAAUAUUGCACAAUGGGCGCAAGCCUGAUGCAGCAACGCCGCGUGAGGGAUGACGGCCUUCGGGUUGUAAACCUCUUUUAGUAGGGAAGAAGCGAAGGUGACGGUACCUGCAGAAAAAGCACCGGCUAACUACGUGCCAGCCGCCGCAGUAA
rnacentral:rRNA from 1 species